AAAAUACGCAAAAAAAAUAAAAAAUCACAACUUUUCACGGUCACUGACUCAAAAGCUAUCAUGGCGGCUUUGUCAGAAUUGAAAGGACAACAUAAAAUUAACUAAUUAUUAACUCAAAGUGCAAAUGUGGAAAAUAUGCAAUUAUGGAUACAGCACUGUGUGUAGCUAUAGCUUCUACGACAUCUGGUCAUUUAAAGUUGGAACAUUGAAAGCUGGGAAUGUUAGAGUCCAAGAUAGAGGAAGGUUUGCUGGAUUUGAUAUCACUUCAUCACACAGCAUGGUCAUCAGUUUGUCAGUGUGAUGCAAUGAAGCAAUGUAACCUACAUGAUUAAUAAAGAUAUUGUAUAUAAUA